UACGUAGGGGGCAAGCGUUGUCCGGAUUUAUUGGGCGUAAAGAGCGUGUAGGCGGCCAGAUAGGUCUGCUGUGAAAACUCGAGGCUUAACCUCGAGAUGUCGGCGGAAACCAUGUGGCUAGAGUCCGGAAGAGGAGAGUGGAAUUCCUGGUGUAGCGGUGAAAUGCGCAGAUAUCAGGAAGAACACCCGUGGCUAAGGCGGCUCUCUAGUACGGUACUGACGCUGAGACGCGAAAGCGUGGGGAGCGAACAGG
rnacentral:rRNA from 1 species